rnacentral:rRNA from 1 species
AACGAACGCUGGCGGCAGGCCUAACACAUGCAAGUCGAGCGAGGACUUCGGUUCUAGCGGCGGACGGGUGAGUAACGCGUGGGAAUGUGCCCUUCUCUACGGAAUAGCCCUGGGAAACUGGGAGUAAUACCGUAUACGCCCUAUUGGGGAAAGAUUUAUCGGAGAAGGAUCAGCCCGCGUUGGAUUAGGUAGUUGGUGGGGUAAUGGCCUACCAAGCCGACGAUCCAUAGCUGGUUUGAGAGGAUGAUCAGCCACACUGGGAAUGAGACACGGCCCAGACUCCUACGGGAGGCAGCAGUGGGGAAUCUUAGACAAUGGGGGCAACCCUGAUCUAGCCAUGCCGCGUGAGUGAUGAAGGCCUUAGGGUUGUAAAGCUCUUUCAGCUGGGAAGAUAAUGACGGUACCAGCAGAAGAAGCCCCGGCUAACUCCGUG